rnacentral:tRNA from 1 species
AAUGAAUUGCCUGACUAAAGGAUUACCUUGAUAGGGUAAAUAAAAUAAUAUUAAUAUUAUAUUCAUUA